AAUACCUGCCUGUCACGCAGGGGGUCGCGGGUUCGAGUCCCGUCCGUUCCG
rnacentral:tRNA from 1 species